AGAGUUUGAUCAUGGCUCA
rnacentral:rRNA from 1 species